rnacentral:rRNA from 1 species
GAAGGGCGCGCUACCUGCAAGUCGAGCGGUAGCACAGAGAGCUUGCUCUCGGGUGACGAGCGGCGGACGGGUGAGUAAUGUCUGGGAAACUGCCUGAUGGAGGGGGAUAACUACUGGAAACGGUAGCUAAUACCGCAUAAUGUCGCAAGACCAAAGUGGGGGACCUUCGGGCCUCAUGCCAUCAGAUGUGCCCAGAUGGGAUUAGCUAGUAGGUGGGGUAACGGCUCACCUAGGCGACGAUCCCUAGCUGGUCUGAGAGGAUGACCAGCCACACUGGAACUGAGACACGGUCCAGACUCCUACGGGAGGCAGCAGUGGGGAAUAUUGCACAAUGGGCGCAAGCCUGAUGCAGCCAUGCCGCGUGUGUGAAGAAGGCCUUCGGGUUGUAAAGCACUUUCAGCGGGGAGGAAGGCGAUAAGGUUAAUAACCUCGUCGAUUGACGUUACCCGCAGAAGAAGCACCGGCUAACUCCGUGCCAGCAGCCGCGGUAAUACGGAGGGUGCAAGCGUUAAUCGGAAUUACUGGGCGUAAAGCGCACGCAGGCGGUCUGUCAAGUCGGAUGUGAAAUCCCCGGGCUCAACCUGGGAACUGCAUUCGAAACUGGCAGGCUAGAGUCUUGUAGAGGGGGGUAGAAUUCCAGGUGUAGCGGUGAAAUGCGUAGAGAUCUGGAGGAAUACCGGUGGCGAAGGCGGCCCCCUGGACAAAGACUGACGCUCAGGUGCGAAAGCGUGGGGAGCAAACAGGAUUAGAUACCCUGGUAGUCCACGCCGUAAACGAUGUCGAUUUGGAGGUUGUGCCCUUGAGGCGUGGCUUCCGGAGCUAACGCGUUAAAUCGACCGCCUGGGGAGUACGGCCGCAAGGUUAAAACUCAAAUGAAUUGACGGGGGCCCGCACAAGCG